rnacentral:rRNA from 1 species
GAUGAACGCUAGCUACAGGCUUAACACAUGCAAGUCGAGGGGAAACGACAUCGAAAGCUUGCUUUUGAUGGGCGUCGACCGGCGCACGGGUGAGUAACGCGUAUCCAACCUGCCCACCACUUGGGGAUAACCUUGCGAAAGUAAGACUAAUACCCAAUGAUAUCUCUAGAAGACAUCUGAAAGAGAUUAAAGAUUUAUCGGUGAUGGAUGGGGAUGCGUCUGAUUAGCUUGUUGGCGGGGUAACGGCCCACCAAGGCGACGAUCAGUAGGGGUUCUGAGAGGAAGGUCCCCCACAUUGGAACUGAGACACGGUCCAAACUCCUACGGGAGGCAGCAGUGAGGAAUAUUGGUCAAUGGACGAGAGUCUGAACCAGCCAAGUAGCGUGCAGGAUGACGGCCCUAUGGGUUGUAAACUGCUUUUAUAAGGGAAUAAAGUGAGUCUCGUGAGACUUUUUGCAUGUACCUUAUGAAUAAGGACCGGCUAAUUCCGUGCCAGCAGCCG